rnacentral:rRNA from 1 species
AUACAGAGGGUGCAAGCGUUAUUCGGAAUUACUGGGCGUAAAGCGCGCGUAGGCGGAUGAUUAAGUCAGUUGUGAAAGCCCUGGGCUCAACCUAGGAACUGCAUCUGAUACUGGUCGUCUAGAGUUUAAGAGAGGGAAGUGGAAUUCCAGGUGUAGCAGUGAAAUGCGUAGAUAUCUGGAGGAACAUCAGUGGCGAAGGCGACUUCCUGGCUUAAAACUGACGCUGAGGUGCGAAAGCGUGGGUAGCGAACGGGAUUAGAAACCCUGGUAGUCC